UUUAUGGAGAGUUUGAUCCUGGCUCAGGAUGAACGCUGGCGGCGUGCCUAAUACAUGCAAGUCGAGCGAACGGAUGAGAAGCUUGCUUCUCUGAUGUUAGCGGCGGACGGGUGAGUAACACGUGGAUAACCUACCUAUAAGACUGGGAUAACUUCGGGAAACCGGAGCUAAUACCGGAUAAUAUUUUGAAC
rnacentral:rRNA from 1 species